rnacentral:rRNA from 1 species
ACGAACGCUGGCGGCGUGCCUAAUACAUGCAAGUCGAGCGGACUUUCAAGAAGCUUGCUUUUUGAAAGUUAGCGGCGGACGGGUGAGUAACACGUGGGCAACCUGCCUGCGAGACGGGGAUAACUCCGGGAAACCGGGGCUAAUACCGGAUAAUAUCUUCCUUCGCAUGAAGGAAGGUUGAAAGGCGGCGCAAGCUGCCGCUUGCAGAUGGGCCCGCGGCGCAUUAGCUAGUUGGUGAGGUAACGGCUCACCAAGGCGACGAUGCGUAGCCGACCUGAGAGGGUGAUCGGCCACACUGGGACUGAGACACGGCCCAGACUCCUACGGGAGGCAGCAGUAGGGAAUCUUCCGCAAUGGACGAAAGUCUGACGGAGCAACGCCGCGUGAGCGAAGAAGGUCUUCGGAUCGUAAAGCUCUGUUGUCAGGGAAGAACAAGUACCGUUCGAACAGGGCGGUACCUUGACGGUACCUGACCAGAAAGCCACGGCUAACUACGUG